UGGGGAAUAUUGCACAAUGGGCGCAAGCCUGAUGCAGCCAUGCCGCGUGUAUGAAGAAGGCCUUCGGGUUGUAAAGUACUUUCAGUCGGGAGGAAGGUGGUAAGGUUAAUAACCUUAUCAAUUGACGUUACCGACAGAAGAAGCACCGGCUAACUCCGUGCCAGCAGCCGCGGUAAUACGGAGGGUGCAAGCGUUAAUCGGAAUUACUGGGCGUAAAGCGCACGCAGGCGGUUGAUUGAGUCAGAUGUGAAAUCCCCGGGCUUAACCCGGGAAUUGCAUCUGGUACUGGGCAGGUAGAGUCUUGUAGAGGGGGGUAGAAUUCCAUGUGUAGCGGUGAAAUGCGUAGAGAUGUGGGGGAAUACCGGUGGGGAAGGCGGCCCCCUGGACAAAGACUGACGCUCAGGUGCGAAAGCGUGGGGAGCAAACAGG
rnacentral:rRNA from 1 species